UUUCUUCAGAUUCACCCACAUGAAGGAUCUCCGGUCAUUUUUGUGGGUUAUUGUCUUGACAAAGAAGAUAAUCAUAUACUAAGAGCGCAACCACACAGGUGUUUGGUUGGCUCUAUAUCAGAUUGUCCCUGCGAGUGAUAGUUGAAUGAUUCAGAUUGUAUAGAGGCCGUUACACAUGAUCUGAUUUCAGAUGAUUUUGCUAGAGAAGAUACAACGAGGAGAAGUUCUUCAAGAUAAAUUAAAA